rnacentral:rRNA from 1 species
UGUGUAGGCGGUUGUUUAAGUUUGGUGUGAAAUCUCCCGGCUCAACUGGGAGGGUGCGCCCGAAUACUGAAUGACUAGAGUGCGGGAGAGGAGAGUGGAAUUCCUGGUGUAGCGGUGAAAUGCGUAGAUAUCAGGAGGAACACCGGCGGUGUAGACGGCUCUCUGGACCGUAACUGACGCUGAAACACGAAAGCGUGGGUAGCAAACAGGAUUAGAUACCCUGGUAGUCCACGCCCUAAACGAUGCAUAUUUGGUGUGGGUCAUUCAGUUGAUCCGUGCCGGAGCUAACGCGUUAAAUAUGCCGCCUGGGGAGUACAGUCGCAAGGCUGAA